rnacentral:rRNA from 1 species
UGAGGAACAUGACCUUCGGCGGGGGAGUAGCCGGCCCAACGGCCGGGUAAUACCGCGUACGACCUUUUGGGGACAUCCCCGA